rnacentral:rRNA from 1 species
UCCGGUGGCUAUAGCGGCGGGGUCCCACCUCUUCCCAUUCCGAACAGAGCCGUUAAGCCCGCCAUCGCCGAUGGUACUGCCCCACCAGGUGGGAGAGUAGGUAGCCGCCGACU